rnacentral:rRNA from 1 species
CCGACUAAAAAUGGUUUGUGUGACCCCUUUACGACGAAAGCAGUGGUAGCAGCAGUUGCCGACGACAAAAAAAGGAAUAAGAACUUGUAGCAGCAAUUACGCAACUUCAUAUUAUAAUAACCGCCGCCCUCGGCUCGGACGAGACGACCCGCUGAACUUAAGCAUAUCGCUAAGCGGAGGAAAAGAAACCAACCGGGAUUCCCUUAGUAACGGCGAGUGAACCGGGAGAAGCCCAACGCCGAAUCCCGUGGCAAGUAAAAGGCCUCGGGACGUGUGGCGCAUGGGUCGGAGACAGCCGCUCGUUUUCGUCUCGCGUAGUUCGGAGUUCCCUCGAUCGGGGCCGCCCGUGGCGGGUGCCAGGCCCAUUCGGUGCGGACGGCGAGCGACGGUCUUCGAUCCGAGAGUCGGGUUGCUUGGGAACGCAGCCCAAAUCGGGUGGUAAGCUCCAUCCAAGGCUAAAUACCGGGACGAGUCCGAUAGUCGACAAGUACCGUGAGGGAAAGUUGAAAAGAACUUUGGAGAGAGAGUUCAAGAGAACGUGAAACCGCCCAGGGGUAAACGGGUGGGACCGCUCACCGCGAUCGCGGGGGGACUCAGUCCGGUGCUGCCGUAGUAGCCCAAACUCGGGCGGCGGCUUGUCCGUCGUCAGGCCGUGUCGGUGUUUGUCGUCGGGCGCGGUAUCUGAUAUCGCGUCUGUUAGCUUUUGCGCUCGCGCCGUCGACGGAGGAGUCGGGCCGCGAAGAUAUUCGUUUCCCUCUUCGCGCGCGCCUCAUCCCCCUUCUUCUCUGCUCGGCAAUCAUGACGCGGGCGCUUCGGCGCGACUGCCGCACGGCCGGCACCGUACGCACUUCCCCUCCGGUCCGUCGUCGCGACCCGUUCCCGGCGUGCAGGUCGACGCGCGGAGUCUCGUGGGCGGUGGACGAUCCACAUGCCUCUGUUACCUCGUCACGGGGUUUCCGGGGCCGUCCGCCGUCGGGCCCGCGAACGUACUGCCGCCUUCUGCCGGGGACGGAGGAACUGACGCGAUCCGUUAUACGUGGCGAGCCGGUUCGCUUUCUCGCUCUCGGGCGGGGAUCGAACCCGUCGGUACUUUCCCUUGCGCGGGGGACUUCGCGGUCUCUCCUUCGGUACCCCACCGUCUCGGGUGCGCGCUGAGGGUUAAUCACGGCGGGACGAGAACCGGCGCGGCCGCACCGUCGCCUACGCACCCGGUCGUCGCGCAGGUCUUGGCUGACGGCGUGCAAGCGUCGUUUUUGCCGCCUGCGCGGCUUGGCCGGGUAGCUCGGUGCCGCUUCCUUUUUUUACUGCCGUCCGCCACCUCGGGUCAGCGACGUGCAUCGGCAACCCACCCGACCCGUCUUGAAACACGGACCGAGGAGUCCUGGCCGUUCGCGAGUCGUAGGGGCACCUUUCACGAACCCCGAAGGCGUAGCGAAAGCGAGAGAGCGCGUAGGAGGGCGUCGGUCUUGGAGAGGUGUCGCGGCGAGGCGGGCCGUUGGUCACGUGGCGGUUCUCCGUUGCGUGGUCAGCUCCGUCGAGCCGUGCCCGAUCCUGCCGGCGCGGUGCCGGGCCUUCCUUCGUCUUUGCGCCGUUUUUGCCCGGUUGCCCUGCCGACCUCCUUUUACCGGGGGGAAGAACGGGCGACGGGGUCGGCGUUUUAAGGCGGGUGGUCGCAGUGUGGGACGUCUUCGCCGUCUCGUUUCGCGGGGGCGUCUGCUCGGUACCAGCCUCAUCCUCCUUGUGCCCAUCGGUGAGAUCCCGCGGCUUGAACUGGUUCCAUUUUGUGUGCACCGGGUUUAGGCGCUGCGCGCGGGCGCAUCACCCCCGGGUCGGAUCCUUUACCGAGUACGACUCGGCCGACUCUGGCGUAGCGAGCGGCCAGGGACCCGAAAGAUGGCGAUCCACGCCCGGUCGGGAUGAAGCCAGAGGAAACUCUGGUGGAAGUCCGAAGCGCCUCUGACGUGCAAAUCGAUCGUCGGAACCGGGUGUAGGGGCGAAAGACCAAUCGAGCCGUCUAGUAGCUGGUUCCCUCCGAAGUUUCCCUCAGGAUAGCUGGCGUUCGAUGUGUCGCAAUUCCAUCCGGUAAAGCGAACGAUUGGAGGCCCCGGGGCCGUUCACGGCCUCGACCUACUCUCGAACUCGGAACGGGUGGAACGGGUCGACUCUCCCGAACUCGGAGCCGACCCCGCCUUUUUCUCGUCUGUCGGUCGUCGUCGCUCUCGGGCGGCGGUGGCGCGGCGAGAAGAUGACGAAUGCGAGUGCCAAGUGGGCCACUUUUGGUAAGCAGAACUGGCGCUGUGGGAUGAACCAAACGUCCGGCUAAGGUGCCUAACGCGACGCCCAUGAGAUCCCCGAAAGGGUGUCGGUCGAUAUAGACAGCAGGACGGUGGCCACGGAAGUCGGAAUCCGCUAAGGAGUGUGUAACAACUCACCUGCCGAAUCGACCGGCCCCGAAAAUGGAUGGCGCUGGAGCGACGGACCGAUGCCGGACCGUCGCGGC